rnacentral:rRNA from 1 species
CCUACGGGGGGCUGCAGUAGGGAAUAUUGCGCAAUGGACGGAAGUCUGACGCAGCGACGCCGCGUGAGCGAUGAAGGCCUUCGGGUCGUAAAGCUCUGUCCUUGGGGAAGAAGGUCUUCGGACUUGACGGUACCCAAGAAGAAAGCCCCGGCUAACUACGUGCCAGCAGCCGCGGUAAUACGUAGGGGGCGAGCGUUGUCCGGAAUUACUGGGCGUAAAGGGUGCGUAGGCGGCCCUUUAAGUCAGAUGUGAAAGGCCACGGCUUAACCGUGGGAUUGCAUUUGAAACUGGAGGGCUUGAGUGUCGGAGAGGGUAGUGGAAUUCCCAGUGUAGCGGUGAAAUGCGUAGAUAUUGGGAGGAACACCAGUGGCGAAGGCGACUACCUGGACGAUAACUGACGCUGAGGCACGAAAGCUAGGGGAGCAAACAGGAUUAGAUACCCCAGUAGUC